AGUGAACGCUGGCGGUAGGCCUAACACAUGCAAGUCGAACGGCAGCACAGUAAGAGCUUGCUCUUACGGGUGGCGAGUGGCGGACGGGUGAGGAAUACAUCGGAAUCUACUUUUUCGUGGGGGAUAACGUAGGGAAACUUACGCUAAUACCGCAUACGACCUACGGGUGAAAGCAGGGGAUCUUCGGACCUUGCGCGAUUGAAUGAGCCGAUGUCGGAUUAGCUAGUUGGCGGGGUAAAGGCCCACCAAGGCGACGAUCCGUAGCUGGUCUGAGAGGAUGAUCAGCCACACUGGAACUGAGACACGGACCAGACUCCUACGAGAGGCAGCAGUGGAGAAUAUUAGACAAUGGGCGCAAGCCUGAUCCAGCCAUACCGCGUGGGUGAAGAAGGCCUUCGGGUUGUAAAGCCCUUUUGUUGGGAAAGAAAAGCAGCAGGUUAAUACCCCGCUGUUCUGACGGUACCCAAAGAAUAAGCACCGGCUAACUUCGUG
rnacentral:rRNA from 1 species